UACGUAGGGUGCAAGCGUUGUCCGGAAUUAUUGGGCGUAAAGAGCUCGUAGGCGGUUUGUUGCGUCGGCUGUGAAAUCCCGAGGCUCAACCUCGGGUCUGCAGUCGAUACGAGCAAACUAGAGUGUUGCAGGGGAGACUGGAAUUCCUGGUGUAGCGGUGAAAUGCGCAGAUAUCAGGAGGAACACCGAUGGCGAAGGCAGUGGUCUGGGCCGAUACUGACGCUGAGGAGCGAAAGCGUGGGGAGCGAACAGG
rnacentral:rRNA from 1 species